GAAUGCCGGUCUCUACAAGGGGCUCAAGCAGCUGUCAGAGCUCAUCUCUUCUUACCAGUCUCUCAAGGACACAGGGCGUGGUCCUCAGAUUGUGAGCUCAAUCAUCAGCACUGCUAAACAGUGUAACCUUGACAAGGAUGUCCCGUUGCCUGAGGAAGGCGAGGAGCUCCCACCGAAGGAGCGGGACCUUAUUGUUGGGAAGGUGUAUGCGAAGAUCAUGGAGAUAGAAUCACGGCUCCUGCCGUGUGGUCUGCAUGUGAUCGGUGAGCCACCAAGUGCUAUUGAGGCUGUGGCCACAUUGGUGAACAUUGCCGCC
rnacentral:lncRNA from 1 species